rnacentral:misc_RNA from 1 species
AACGGUGUUGGAGAUCGGAGCAAUCAGGUUGCCGGGUGACUUGGACAUCGAGGAAAGCUAGGGUGCUCUGUUCUUGCUCCAUGGUGAACUUGAUGAGUGGGUGCUACUGGUUGAUGUGGUUGAGGAAGAUGUGGAGUUGCUCCGUACUGUGCGGCCAAACUACGAACGCGUCGUCUACGUAGCGUAGCGGCAUAUAUCGGGCUUGAAGUCUGAUGGUGAUGAGUUCAAACACCUCCAUGAACAAAUCCACCAGGACCGGGGAUAGAGGUCAUCCCAUGGCGGCCAGACUGGAUUAUUCAUAGAAGUGAUUCAUCCACUGGAAACAAGUGGAGGAGACGCAGGUGUGGAGGAGGUCGUGGAUCUGUUCCGGGGGUGCUGGAGACGUUCUUGGGCAAUGAAGCAGUGCUUCAUCGGUGGGGAGGGACGUUGGUGAAUAGGGAUGCCACAUCGAAGCGGACGAGGAUGUCCGUUGAUUGGCUUGAGCUUGAUGGUCUUGAUGGUGGAUGGAGUUGGUGAUGUGGUGUCUUGUGUGGCCGACUAGACAAAUGGUUUAGCCUCGCAAGGUUUCAAGGACCAGGCCGAGAGAAACAAAGAAAAAGUCACCAGUUGGUUUGACAAGAACCACAUCAUUGAGUCGGAACUGCGUGCAUGUGACAGGCUGGAAUUCAGUAGGUUGUUCUACAAUCACUGGGGCAUGUUCCUCGGCAAACUGGGAGACAGAGUGCUAGUUCUGCACUUUUCCACCGCCGGAAGUGGAAAGAAAUACUCGAUAAAGAAGACCUCUGGUCUCGGAUCUUCGGCGAUGGAUAAACCAGCCUACCGCAUCGACUCGAUUAAGAAACCUCUCAGUAACCGUAGAAUGAGGAUCAACAACAGACUAGUCAGUGCCGGAUAAAAUCCUCGAUGGCAUCGUUCAUCGACUUGCUUCGCAAGGUUUCCAAAGAUCACCAGAGUACGAUGCUUUGCAUAACAAUUGCGAGCAUUUAGUCAACGAACUUCGGUACGAAAAGCACCGCUGUGAACAACUACCACCAAUCUUGGGACCACUUGCGAAGAGGCUUAAUCGCAUUCUUUGUCAAAGCUAAGAGAGCAAAAUGUGAGAUGACGACCUACUGCGGAGCAGUGCAGACUACGUCAGAUAUCAGGCUACAUUGUUUUUUUUCAGUGACGGUGGAAUGUCCACCCAAAUUUGCUCAGAUAUGAGACAUAUCCAGAAUUUUCGCUGGUCCCAGAGGGGCAAGCUUGUAGUCCUAUUUGCACCAGAACCCCCCAUGGGAUUGUUAAAAAGCAACUUCAGGAAUCAUCUGAUCGCUGUUUAUGUGGCAUCCCAUAGCUUCUCUGUUCAUGCUUUCAUGUUUGUCUUCUCGCGAGUUGCUCUUUAUAAUGUAGAUUAGUGUUUCCUCGAUGCUAGUUGUUGUCUCUUUCAUAGUACUAUUUGUGUUAUUUGCCCUGUUCUGUCUUUGUCCUGUACUUGUCUUUACUGCCUGAGGUCCAGUUUUUGUCCUUUGCAAGGCUUUCCACACUGUUCUUUUCGAAAUAUACAUCUAUUCAACCCUGUCCAGUGGCGUAAGUCUGUGCCGGGGACUGGAAAGGGCGGAGGGGGUGGGGGAACGAGGGUUGACUAAAAUCAGGACAUUGCCCAGCCGUCCAAAUUCGAAAAGCGGGGGCGUAGGGCUUGUUGGACACCAUUAUGACAAUAGGGGGCACUGUUCAUGUUACAGAUGGGCAUGUUAUGUUUACUUAGAGUGCACACCGGCAGAUAGUGAUAAAUCCAUCCGCCAAACAUAUAUAAAAGUAAAACCUCAUAUUAGACAGUUCUGAUAGCCAUAACAUUGGGGAAUUGAAAAGAUAUGGCAAUGAAACUCUGGCUCGGACAUGGGGCUUUCAAUUCUGAGCAUUUUGGAUGCAAUUGGGCUCGAAAAUGGCGCUAUGUUGUCUUCUUGUGGAGGGAUCUUUUUCAAGAUCGCUACCUUUCCGCUUUCGGGAAAAUAGGGGUCGUCUUGUUUGGGUGAAAAUUUCUCGAGCAGUCAAUGGUCAAUCCACCCAAAAAUGAAAAGAAAAUGAAAGAUGACAUGUUGAUCAUCAUUUGUCUGUGCAGCUUAAAUUACCUGUAAGAGUUCUGAGUAUUUCAGAAUAAUUUUGAAGUAAGGGCAUUUAGCACUAAAAGUGUCUAUGGAAAUUUUGCGUGGUUGUACCCUUACGCCCAUCAAAAUGGCGCAUUUAAAGCUUUUGGACUUUCUCUCUUUUUCAGUACUAUUGAAAGCGUUGGGAAGUUCAUCAAAAUACAUCAAAAUCCGUUGGUUUUUUUGUAUCUCACUACAAAAAAGUGGGGGGGGGGGGUAGGCGGAUGAUCCAAUAACCCAUCCCCCUCGUCAA